rnacentral:rRNA from 1 species
UGGGGAAUAUUGGACAAUGGGCGAAAGCCUGAUCCAGCCAUGCCGCGUGUGUGAAGAAGGUCUUCGGAUUGUAAAGCACUUUAAGUUGGGAGGAAGGGCAUUAACCUAAUACGUUAGUGUUUUGACGUUACCGACAGAAUAAGCACCGGCUAACUCUGUGCCAGCAGCCGCGGUAAUACAGAGGGUGCAAGCGUUAAUCGGAAUUACUGGGCGUAAAGCGCGCGUAGGUGGUUUGUUAAGUUGGAUGUGGAAUCCCCGGGCUCAACCUGGGAACUGCAUUCAAAACUGACUGACUAGAGUAUGGUAGAGGGUGGUGGAAUUUCCUGUGUAGCGGUGAAAUGCGUAGAUAUAGGAAGGAACACCAGUGGCGAAGGCGACCACCUGGACUAAUACUGACACUGAGGUGCGAAAGCAUGGGGAGCAAACA